GACAGCAGUCGCCACGGUAAUACGAAGGGUGCAAGCGUUAAUCGGAAUUACUGGGCGUAAAGCGUGCGUAGGCGGUGAGUUAAGUCUGCUGUGAAAUCCCCGGGCUCAACCUGGGAAUGGCAGUGGAUACUGGCUCGCUAGAGUGUGUCAGAGGAUGGUGGAAUUCCCGGUGUAGCGGUGAAAUGCGUAGAGAUCUGGAGGAAUACCGGUGGCGAAGGCGGCCCCCUGGACAAAGACUGACGCUCAGGUGCGAAAGCGUGGGGAGCAAACAGGAUUAGAUACCUGAGUAGUCCCUGUCUCUUAUAA
rnacentral:rRNA from 1 species